rnacentral:rRNA from 1 species
UGACCCGUCUUGAAACACGGACCAAGGAGUCUAGCAUGUGCGCGAGUCAUUGGGAAUAACUAAACCUAAAGGCGCAAUGAAAGUGAAGGUCCGCCUCGCGCGGACCGAGGGAAGAUGGGCGUGCACGCUUGCGUGCCGCUCCGCACUCCCGGGGCGUCUCGUUCUCAUUGCGAGAAGAGGCGCACCAAGAGCGUACACGCUGGGACCCGAAAGAUGGUGAACUAUGCCUGGUCAGGACGAAGUCAGGGGAAACCCUGAUGGAGGUCCGUAGCGAUUCUGACGUGCAAAUCGAUCGUCGGAACUGGGUAU